rnacentral:lncRNA from 10 species
GGGAUCUUUUACACAAUGCAGAGAUUGAGUAAGAUUGUUAAUUCUCUCUUCUAUUAAUAAAGAGUAAAAUGUGUGUGUCAGCAAUCCAGUACCCUGAUAUUUGCUUGAUACCACAGCAUUCUACCUGAAUUUAAUUCACAAUUGUAAGAUGAUCAAGGUUCUCUGUCAAGGAAAGAGUAAAGUUGACCUUCUCUAAAAGAUGGGGCCAGGCCAGAACUGGUAACCAUGACUAUUUACAUGAGUUGGUAGCCUGUGAAUACAAUAACAAUGCAAUUUUUAUUGUUAUAUCAAUGAGCAAAUGUUAUAAAUAUCUCUCAUUUCUAUAUCUGCUUUUAUACUCCAUUCAUCACUGUGUGAGGAACGUCUCUGAUGCCUUGUCUUGCACCUGGGAUGACAGGUGUGAUAGCCGGGCAAAAGAAGGCAAACAUCUAGCUAAAUAUUGAUUUGGGUACAGCAGAGUUCUAAUUUUGCAUAAUUGAUGCUUGUCUGCUUCAUCCUGUUGAGAAAAAACGGUGUUCCUGAAUUGUUGUGAUAUAUCAAUGGUGAUACCUGGCCUAGGCUGUGCUAAAAAUAUAACCCUUGCAAAGUAGAUUUCUCUUUUGUUCUUGGGAUGAAACUUGCAGCUUUAUUACAGCUCAUAAGAGCACCUAUUCUACUUGUGGAAACUAUGCUUGCCCAUGUUUACCAUGUGUUUGGUCCAUUUCUUGCAUUAUAGGUAGGGUGAGUCUAGUUUGAGUUUGCACAGUACUGUUUGCUCUUGUGAAAUUUCAGUUUGUACCUUAUAUCUCAGUAUAGUAUAAAUAUUAAUAGUACCUUAUGCUUUCAGAAGUAUCCCAGUUUGGAUGAGAAAUUAUAUGUUCAUCUUAUGCAUGUAUGUUAUAGUACCUCCAACACAAGUCAUCUCCCAACUCUCCAUAUUGAAAAGGUUCACAGCUUCCAUGACAUAAAUGAAACACUACAGUUUGGAAGAAUAGAAUAGUAAGUUUUCAUCAAAUGGAGUUUUACAUUCUAUUCAAGGAUUAAGGACCGCGCUGGCCUUUUUGGAACAAUCUGGCAAUGCCUCAGCUACAUCUCUAAAAUCUGCUCAGUACUGACACAGUGGCCACUAGGGCCAUGGUCCUUUGGAACUUCUUGACUCUAGAUUUCACCUUAAUCAAUAGAAGAGUAGUGUGUGCUCUUACUGGCAAUGAAUAUGCUAUCGAUAUUCUUGUCAAUGAGAACUUGUCUAGGAUUUGCAUAUUCCCAUUCAAAUAGAAACUACCACAUUUCAGCAGUCGGAGAGAAGGAACUGAGUUGCAUGGGCUGGUAGCCUUUCAGAAAACUGUGUAAGGCAUAUUAGCAAUAUUGUGGACUAUGAUAAGCCUGUAUAUAGUGGUAAUACUGAUAAAAUGUUGUAUAUAUUGUCUUAAAGGAAUGCAUCAAAAAUUUUCUUGUGUAAGUGUUGAAACUGUACAUUAUGUAUUUAAGAGAAAGCAAAUUUGAGGCUCAAGUAAUAAGAGAUCAUAUGCAGAUUUAGGUCUUAUAACAACAAAGAUGGAAGACUAGAGAAAAAAAAUGCUAUAACUUCUUGAUUUCACUGUUAGUAGGUAAUAUCCUUAAGUGUUUUCUCCAUAACUGCAAAUAAAUUCGAUCUCCACAGGCUGCUUUUUAUAAAAAAUGCUAAUUAAUUUGUGUCCUUGUAAUUAACUAAGGAUCUAUCUAAAAACAAAUAAAGGUGAUGUACCAUCUCCCCCACAGCAACAGAAGGAUUUUGCUUUGUGUCAUAAAUCAAGUUCAAAGAAUAUUCUUUGGUAACAUGUUAAAUUGCAAACUUUUUUUUUCUUUUGUUUGAGACACAGUCUCACUGUGUCACCCAGGCUGGAGUACAGUGGCACGAUCUCGGCUCCCUGCAACCUCCACCUUCUGGGUUCAAGCAAUUCUUUUGCCUCAGCCUCCCAAGUAUCUGGGAUUACAGACAUGCACCACCAUGCCCAAUGAAUUUUUGCAUUUUUAGUAGAGACAGGGUUUCACCAUGUUGGCCAGGCUGGUCUCAAUCUCCUGACCUCGGGUGAUCCACUUGCCUCAGCCUCCCAAAGUGCUGGGAUUACAGGUGUGAGCCACUGUGCCCGGCCAUUAAAUUGCAAACUUUCACAAGAAUUACCCGUCUUGUUCUCUUUGUGAGACAGAGAUUCAUGUGAAUUUGAGUUAAUGUUAUCUAUGCUUUGUCGUCUAUUAAUGUAAAGUUUUCCAGGAAGUAUUAUUUGACUAGAGUCAUUGUGAAACACGUACUAGAAAUUAUUAUUAAAUCCUUUGAA